rnacentral:tRNA from 6 species
GGAGGAGUCGCAUAGUGGCUAUUGCAACGCCCUGGAAAGGCGUGACCUUCACGGGUCUCGUGGGUUCGAGUCCCACCUCCUCCG